AACGAACGCUGGCGGCAUGCCUAACACAUGCAAGUCGAACGAGACCUUCGGGUCUAGUGGCGCACGGGUGCGUAACGCGUAGGAACCUGCCCUUAGGUUCGGAAUAACUCCCCGAAAGGGGUGCUAAUACCGGAUAAUGUCUUCGGACCAAAGAUUUAUCGCCUUUGGAUGGGCCCGCGUUGGAUUAGCUAGUUGGUAGGGUAAAAGCCUACCAAGGCGACGAUCCAUAGCUGGUCUGAGAGGAUGAUCAGCCACACUGGGACUGAGACACGGCCCAGACUCCUACGGGAGGCAGCAGUGGGGAAUACUGGACAAUGGGCGAAAGCCUGAUCCAGCAAUGCCGCGUGAGUGAUGAAGGCCUUAGGGUUGUAAAGCUCUUUUACCCGGGAUGAUAAUGACAGUACCGGGAGAAUAGGCUCCGGCUAACUCCGUG
rnacentral:rRNA from 1 species